GCCCUGGAGGAAGUUUCGCAACAUUUCUCCUCUCCUCUAUCUGAACAGUUCCUGCAGGACCUAAAAAGUCAUGUUCUAGCCAUUUUACUCGUGUUUGGAAGCUUUGAGAAUAUGAAGCUUUGAGCAUAUUGUUGCUUGUAGAAUAAUAAAGCAAUCCGGUUACUUUAUUCAUUUUUUUCUCAACGUAAACAUGUAACAAGAUAUUAACAAAGAAGUUCUGCUAAGGCCUGAAGACAAUAGCAAUGGCAUUUUAAGCUAGGCACAAGACCACGUGCAGAGUGGGGAGAAAGCAGGCAAGAAAAAACUAACUAGUUUUGACUCUUGCACUCUGCAUUCAUGGUGAUAGAAUGGCCAGUCUGGCAGAUGAGAAAGGAGGAUUUCCGGACAUAGUUUUUGGUGGGUUGUGAGUCCCAUAGGAGAAGAGAGGAAGUAUAGGGACCUCAUCACAAGCUCAGGGAAUGGGGUUUCAAUUGUCCACUGAGAGGGCUUAAUACACAUUUCUUGUAGCUUAGGGAACUCAGUGCACAGGCGUCCAGUUCCCAUCUGAAAAAGCCAAAGGACAGCAAUAGGCUGACCCUAGCUUUGACUGUGGAGUAAGGUGGAGGCCAAAGGAGGAGGCUAGGACACCCUGUGCUCUCCAAAUUUGUCAUGAUAGAGGGUGUGUGUAUGUGUGUGGCCAAUGUGGGCCACAUCCAGGAAAGGCCUGGCAGUGAGGGGUUAUCUUAGAUUGUUCAAGAGUGCUGCAUGGAGGGGCAAACUGGCCUCUCAGAGAGAAGCUCAAGGUAUCACCAGGUUCAGAGGGUUGAGGAAGGAGUGAGUGAGUAGCAAGCAUGGAAAGCAUUUGUCCUGUGAAGCAAACUGCAGGGAAGAGCUCCUCAGUGGCCGGAAGGUCACUGCAAAGACCUGGUGAGAGUCAGCUGUCAAUUAUUUGCCAAGUCCAGAGCGAGCAGAUGCUAAAUUCCCAAGCCAGGGCCAGUCAAGCAAGAACUUUCCUGCUUCCCUGGCCUCUUCUCAUUUGCAGGACUCCAGCUCUGAAAGAGGCAGGACUCAUGGCUAGUAAUCUGGGGAAGGAGGAGGAGAAAUGUUAGCAGCUGACCACAUACCCUUUCCCCAGUCUCCUUUGUCUUCACCUUUCAAGGAUCCUGAGCUGGGAUGGGGGAGAAGUUUCAACUUUAAAGCAAGAAGUUAUGGGACUGAAUAAUUUAGUUACUAAAUGCGUACUAUGUGGUUUAAAGUGACCGGAAGAUUGCUGAUAUUACUAAGUGUGACCAGAAAGUCAUAGACUUGCUCUAAAUUUCAUCUGGGGCAGAGGAAGAUCUGGCUUCCCCGGGCAGAUGAAAAAGAACAGUGGGAAAUCAAAUAAAUUUGCUUGUGAAUACACUCCGUGAGUCUUGUUUGUUCAGCACAAUGGCUAGCCACGUUUCCAAUCCUGGGAGAUUGACAAUGGUGACAGCCACCUCUGUGCUCAUUGCUGUAAGACCGUGGCAGCAGAUGGCUAUGGCUGCUAUUGUUUGCCCAUUGGGAAUCCCAAACAAAUCCACUAGCUAUGCCCCUAGACACUGCCUGAUGAUGAAUCUAUUAAGAGAUUGAAUCCCUCUGGAUGAAUGGUUUGGAUAAUGGCUGUACAUAUUACAGUAAACAAAAUGUUUUGGGAGACCUUCUUCACUUAUUGUCUCUCAGCUCCAAACCUGCCCUUCUGUGCUUGCUUUGUGAUGCUGGGCUAGGACUCUGCCAACCACAGUUUUGCUUUGCCAGCUGGCUCCACAUUAGGCCCUUCCCACGGGAGGCCCCAGAGGGAACAGCAUGGUGAGAGAGAAAGAAAGGCCUCCUUCCUUCCUGUCUGCUUCCUGUGGGUUUUCUGUACCUGUCAGUGUCACUCUAGUCUCACCUCUUCACCCUGGCAGUAGCAGCUCCUUCUUGGAGCAGCAGUUGAAUGUAGUUUGCAGUUUUUCCAGCACUGACAGAACCAGCCUCAUCAUGCUCUUGUUCUCCCAGGAGAUGUCGGGUCCUCAGGGCCCCUCUCCAGCUCAGAAAUGCCAGCCCAGCCAAGCGGUGCCCCCUCCGUGGAGUCUGAGUCCCAAGUUUUCAAGUUUUAAUAAUUCCCACCCCUUCCUAUUCUCAGUCCCAGGGGCAGGGGCUGCUUCCUGCAGUUUAGU
rnacentral:lncRNA from 1 species